UCGCUCCUACUGAUUGAGUGGUCCGCUAAAUAAUUUGGACUGCAACAAUGCUCGUUCAGGGCGCUGCUGCAAAAAGGAUGGUGAAGCUUAUCACUUAGAGGAAGGAG
rnacentral:rRNA from 1 species